rnacentral:lncRNA from 1 species
ACGGCUACUAGGGUUUAAACCUGAGGGCUGCCUGGAGUGCGAAGAAGGAGGAAGCUGGACGCAGAGGGCGUCUGUACAAGCGACAGGCUGGGGCUUCUGGAAAGCCAUUCCUAUGCCUCGGCCGCUCAGUGCAGACAACUUGUGCACACUCCACAAACUGUACCCCUCUCCCACACGCCCCAAACCGAAGGAAGAGGCCGCACUCCCCACGCCCCUGCCGCCCUCCCGCACACCGUACGCCGCUUCUAUACGGACCUGCUCUGCUGAGGUUCUCUCUGCUGAGCCGCCAUCUUCUCAACUAUGCUUCCCUGUUAGCCAAUCGUGGGGGACUGUCACGAGGCUCACGUUCCCGCCCUGGAUUCUGGGAGACUUUAACAACCUCCGGGCUGGGUAGACCUCAUUUCCUUGACACCUUAACUCCAACACAGUAGUUGUGCUCCCACCAGCUCCUCCCUGGAGCGUGAACUACCUUCCCACCUCCACAGCCGGCAGGGCAGUCUUACCAUGUCAUAUUUGUUCGUCAACCCUUGACGGUUCAUUUUGUGCGUGCAACCCUGGCUGGCCUGGAACUUGCUGCGUUUGAGCAGAAAUCUGCCUAUCUCUGCUGCUUGCUGGGGUUAUAGGAGUACACCAGCAAGCCGAGCCUUUCUUCUUCUUCUUCUUCUUCUUCUCCUUCUCCUUCUCCUUCUCCUUCUCCUUCUCCUUCUCCUUCUCCUUCUCCUUCUCCUUCUCCUUCUCCUUCUCCUUCUCCUUCUUCUUCCUUCUUCUUCUUCUUCUUCUUCUUCUUCUUCUUCUUCUUCUUCUUCUUCUUCUUUCUUCUUCCUUCUUCUUUCUUCUUCCUUCUUCUUCUUCUUCUUCUUCUUCUUCUUCUUCUUCUUCUUCUUCUUCUUCUUUCUUCUUCCUUCUUCUUCUUCUUCUUCUUCUUCUUCUUCUUCUUCUUCUUCUUCUUCUUUCUUUCUUCUUCCUUCUUCUUCUCCUCUUCUUCUUCUUCUUCUUCUUCUUCUUCUUCUUCUUCUUCUUCUUUCUUUCUUCUUCCUUCUUCCUUCUUCCUUCUUUCUUUCUUCUUUCUUCUUUCUUCUUUCUUCUUUCUUCUUCUUCUUCUUUUUUUCAUGCCAGUAAUCUCAAUGAAGGAGGGAGAUGGCCAUGAGUUAGUUGAAGGCCAGUCUGUAUCCCUCAGUCCUACCUAUCUCUACCAUCCUGAGGUUCCGCAAGAGCAUACAGCUGGGGACAGGAACUCCGAGUUAGAACCCUUGCCUGACCUGAGCAAAAUCCUAGAUUCAAUUUUCAGUAACACGUGCGUGUUAUAAUCUCCACGAAUCAUUGUCUCCACUCUGUCCAGCAGUUCUCUCUAGACAAUUACCAACAGAGGCUUUUCCAAACUUUUGUCUCUUCUGCAUUCCAUACAUCAAGUUCCCUAUUUCAUAGAGAAAAAAUCUACCAAAUGAAAUUCCCUUAAUAUCUACACACUUUCCCACCCUUAGCUGCCCUUCUGGUCUGCCUUCAGAUGUAUGUGUGCUUCUUGCUGCCUAAGAUAAACAACCUGCUUCAAGGUGCAGCUCAAAGAUUACAGACAUCCAGAGAGGAAGAUUUUCACCCUCAGAAGAACAAAACAUCACAGCCUCACCUCUGGCCCAGAGUCCUCAGAGCUAUGGCAGGUCCUGAACCUCUCUCUCCUGGGCUGCAGUGCACUGGCAGCGCAACCUCAGGAGGUACUAUGCGGACUCUGCCAGGUCUGGGUGCUCGCUAACGUAACUCAUGUUCAAGGGCUGCUGUGGAAUGGAAGACAGGUAGGAAAUGAGCUCCUCUAAGGGAGAUAACCUGUUUGCAC